rnacentral:rRNA from 1 species
UUACACAUGCAAGUCGAACGGCAGCACGGGUGCUUGCACCUGGUGGCGAGUGGCGAACGGGUGAGUAAUACAUCGGAACAUGUCCUGUAGUGGGGGAUAGCCCGGCGAAAGCCGGAUUAAUACCGCAUACGAUCUACGGAUGAAAGCGGGGGACCUUCGGGCCUCGCGCUAUAGGGUUGGCCGAUGGCUGAUUAGCUAGUUGGUGGGGUAAAGGCCUACCAAGGCGACGAUCAGUAGCUGGUCUGAGAGGACGACCAGCCACACUGGGACUGAGACACGGCCCAGACUCCUACGGGAGGCAGCAGUGAGGAAUUUUGGACAAUGGGCGAAAGCCUGAUCCAGCAAUGCCGCGUGUGUGGAGAAGGCCUUCGGGUUGUAAAGCACUUUUGUCCGGAAAGAAAUCCUUGGUUCUAAUAUAGCCGGGGGAUGACGGUACCGGAAGAAUAAGCACCGGCUAACUACGUGCCAGCAGCCGCGGUAAUACGUAGGGUGCGAGCGUUAAUCGGAAUUACUGGGCGUAAAGCGUGCGCAGGCGGUUUGCUAAGACCGAUGUGAAAUCCCCGGGCUCAACCUGGGAACUGCAUUGGUGACUGGCAGGCUAGAGUAUGGCAGAGGGGGGUAGAAUUCCACGUGUAGCAGUGAAAUGCGUAGAGAUGUGGAGGAAUACCGAUGGCGAAGGCAG